rnacentral:tRNA from 1 species
AAUUGAAUAGCUUAAAUUAAAGCAANGUAUUGAAGAUACUAAGAUGAAUUUUAUUUCUUUAAUUA